rnacentral:rRNA from 1 species
AUUGAACGCUAACGGCAUGCUUAACACAUGCAAGUCGAACGGCAGCACAGCAGUAGCAAUACUGUGGGUGGCGAGUGGCGGACGGGUGAGUAAUGUAUAGGAAUCUGCCUUGUAGUGGGGGAUAACCUGGGGAAACUCGGGCUAAUACCGCAUAAUCUUUACGAAGCAAAGCGGGGGAUCGUAAGACCUUGCGCUAUAAGAUGAGCCUAUAUUGGAUUAGCUAGUUGGUGGGGUAAAGGCCUACCAAGGCGACGAUCCAUAGCUGGUCUGAGAGGGUGAUCAGCCAAACUGGGACUGAGACACGGCCCAGACUCCUACGGGAGGCAGCAGUGGGGAAUAUUGGACAAUGGGGGAAACCCUGAUCCAGCAAUGCCGUGUGUGUGAAGAAGGCCUUCGGGUUGUAAAGCACUUUUAGUGGGAAAGAAAAGCUCAAAGCUAAUAACUUUGAGCCUUGACGUUACCCACAGAAAAAGCACUGGCUAACUCUGUGCCAGCAGCCGCCGUAA